rfam:Otolemur garnettii contig035499, whole genome shotgun sequence.
GCCGGGCGUUGUGGCGGGUGCCUGUGGUCCCAGCUACUUGGGAGGCGGAGGCAGGAGACUCGCUUGAGCCCAGGAGUUGGAGGUUGCUGUGAGCUGUGAUGUCAUGGCACUCUACCCAAGGGGGAUAGCUUGAGGCGCCUGUCUCAAAAAAAAAAAGACUUUACCCUUCUAACACCCCUCACCAUCUAAUGCCUCUUUUUUUUUUUUUUUUGAGACAGAGCCUCAAGCUAUCCCCCUGGGUAGAGUGCCGUUGCAUCACAGCUCACAGCAACCUCCAACUCCUGGGCUCAAGCGAGUCUCCUGCCUCUG